rnacentral:pre_miRNA from 1 species
UGUAACAGCAACUCCAUGUGGAAGUCUCUGGCCUGGUUCCAGUGGGGCGGCUGUUAUUUU